rnacentral:rRNA from 1 species
AUUGAACGCUGGCGGCAUGCUUUACACAUGCAAGUCGAACGGUAACAGGCCGCAAGGUGCUGACGAGUGGCGAACGGGUGCGUAAUGCAUCGGAACGUGCCCCGUCGUGGGGGGUAACUACUCGAAAGAGUAGCUAAUACCGCAUACGAUCUAUGGAUGAAAGCGGGGGGCCGUAAGGCCUCGCGCGAUUGGAGCGGCCGCUGUCAGAUUAGGUAGUUGGUGGGGUAAAGGCUCACCAAGCCAACGAUCUGUAGCUGGUCUGAGAGGACGACCAGCCACACUGGAACUGAGACACGGCCCAGACUCCUACGGGAGGCAGCAGUGGGGAAUUUUGGACAAUGGGCGAAAGCCUGAUCCAGCAAUGCCGCGUGCAGGAAGAAGGCCUUCGGAUUGUAAACUGCUUUUGUACGGAACGAAACGGCUCUGGUUAAUACCCGGGGAUAAUGACGGUACCGUAAGAAUAAGCACCGGCUAACUACGUG